UCGAUACUUUUAUUUAACAUAUUGGCCAUACAAUGGAGUAUGGAUGCUGUAAACUGCUCAAUGUUUGUUGAGCAAUUCCUUGGCGGUCCACUAGGGGCGCUCAGAAGUGGCGGUGAGGGUAAAGUGCGCACAAGUUGUCUAGAGAAGGAGAGGUAGCUCCAAGUGGGUUGAAAAAAUAAAAAAGCUCCGUGAGAACGGUGGAGGAAAAAAUGAGAAAAAUAUUGCUACAAAUCACACAUGGGGACACAUUUUAGAUUUUACACCAACAAGAAAGGAAGUAAGGUGAACAAGGACUUUGCUGUAUGCAAGAAUUGUCAAAGAAAAAUAAGUUUCACUGGGAGCUGGUGACGUAGUGGACACCGGAGUUUGUGAGCUUCGCUUUCAUCACUUGAGGUGAGGAAGACUGUGACUGAGCAAGUCUGACAUCUUAAAUGCUGAAGCAGAUGGCGGAAGUGCUCAAACCAAGCAACAAAGGUCAUAUACAAAGAAAAGACCCACCAGUUUUAUCAUUGCCCCACUCCAAGCUCAACUGCUGACACCUACGGCACUUUUUAUUUAUUUAUUUGUUUUAAAGAUUUAAAACUUUAAAGAAAUUAAGGGUGCCCGUCAUCAUGAUCUCUCAAAGUGAUAUCAGUGGUCGUGGUUUGUUUCCUCUAUAUAAGCAGGGGCACAAUUUGCAGUAGAUUUAUAUUUUACAGCAAUGUUGCACAGAAAAGGUGUCACUGUUUAAUAAAUGACUUAAACAGUA